rnacentral:lncRNA from 1 species
AGCGUCUUUCCUUCAGCUACCCAGGCAUGAGGAUGCAGACAUUUGCCACCAGACUGUUUCUGAAGGUGUGCCAACAGCCACAGCCCAGAGAGCCCUGGGAGCAACGUUAGAGCUUGUUCAGACGUGACCUCAUCCCAACGGUGAUCACUAACAGAAUUAUUGACCUGACCGUUUGCUGCUGGAGAAUUUUGGAAAUGCCAGGUUCAUUACAGCCCUGCUUAUUGCCAGGAAGCAUUACAGCUUUGUGCUCGCAGCAGCUUUAAAGGCAGAUGAAAGCCAUAACGCCGGGUCACCCCAGAGACACACCAAGUGCAUCAUCUCAGCCUAGUUGGAAAAGGAUAUUACAAUGUCCUGGUACCCUGAGCUGUUUGCACUGAUGUCCCCACGGAGGGGACACAGAGAGCUGGCUGGGAGAAGAAAAUGAACAGUUCUACUUAUGCAGCGAGUAAAUGAUCACGGAGCAAGAAUGAUUUCCAUUUGCCUACAUUCCUUCCUGCUCUCAGCAGCCCCAGAUCAUGAUCUCCCUGUACUGACUGAGGGCACAGAUCUGGCUCAUGCUGGAGGGGUGAUGCAUUCCAGACAUCCCAUGGAUGACACCCAGGUGGGCUCACCUGCAUUCGUACAGCCCGGGUCAUAAGGAGCUAUUCUGAAGCAAAGCCCUGGAGCACUGCAGUGGGUAGGAAAAAAAGCCAUUAAACCCUCCUGCCAGCACAGGAUUAGCUAGUGCAAGGUUAAAUCUCACUUCUUAAAAGGCUGGAUUGCAGGGUGAUAAAUGGCACGGCUUCCUGUAUUGUUUGGUAAUUAAUUGUUUGAAUCCUAUUGUAUUAAGGGGAGG